CAGUAGCCGCGGGAAUACGAAGGGUGCAAGCGUUACUCGGAAUUACUGGGCGUAAAGCGUGCGUAGGUGGUGGUUUAAGUCCGUUGUGAAAGCCCUGGGCUCAACCUGGGAAUUGCAGUGGAUACUGGAUCACUAGAGUGUGGUAGAGGAUAGUGGAAUUUCCGGUGUAGCAGUGAAAUGCGUAGAGAUCGGAAGGAACAUCUGUGGCGAAGGCGACUAUCUGGGCCAACACUGACACUGAGGCACGAAAGCGUGGGGAGCAAACAGGAUUAGAUACCCCUGUAGUCCCUGUCUCUUAUAA
rnacentral:rRNA from 1 species